rnacentral:rRNA from 1 species
AAUCAACGCUGGCGGCGUGCCUAACACAUGCAAGUCGCACGAGAAAGUGGAGCAAUCCAUGAGUACAGUGGCGCACGGGUGAGUAACACGUGAAUUAUCUACCUCCGAGUGGGGAAUAACUGAGAGAAAUCUUAGCUAAUACCGCAUAACACUUACGAGUCAAAGCAGCAAUGCGCUUGGAGAGGAGUUCGCGGCCGAUUAGUUAGUUGGCGGGGUAAUGGCCCACCAAGACGAUGAUCGGUAUCCGGCCUGAGAGGGCGCACGGACACACUGGAACUGAAACACGGUCCAGACUCCUACGGGAGGCAGCAGUGGGGAAUUUUGCGCAAUGGGGGAAACCCUGACGCAGCAACGCCGCGUGGAGGAUGAAAUCCCUUGGGAUGUAAACUCCUUUCGAUAGGGAAGAUAAUGACGGUACCUAUAGAAGAAGCCCCGGCUAACUUCGUUCCAGCAGCCGCGGUAAUACGAGGGGGGCAAGCGUUGUUCGGAAUUAUUGGGCGUAAAGGGUGCGUAGGCGGUUUGACAAGUCUCAUGUGAAAUCUAUGGGCUCAACCCAUAGUCUGCAUGGGAAGCUGUCG